UACAGAGGGUGUGAGCGUUGUUCGGAAUUAUUGGGCGUAAAGGGCGCGUAGGCGGCGCCACAAGUCACUUGUGAAAACUCUGGGCUCAACUCAGAGCCUGCAAGCGAAACUGUGGUGCUGGAGUAUGGGAGAGGUGCGUGGAAUUCCCGGUGUAGCGGUGAAAUGCGUAGAUAUAGGAAGGAACACCAGUGGCGAAGGCGACCACCUGGACUGAUACUGACACUGAGGUGCGAAAGCGUGGGGAGCAAACAGG
rnacentral:rRNA from 1 species